rnacentral:rRNA from 2 species
GCGGCGGACGGGUGAGUAACACGUGGGCAACCUGCCUGUAAGACUGGGAUAACUUCGGGAAACCGAAGCUAAUACCGGAUAGGAUCUUCUCCUUCAUGGGAGAUGAUUGAAAGAUGGUUUCGGCUAUCACUUACAGAUGGGCCCGCGGUGCAUUAGCUAGUUGGUGAGGUAACGGCUCACCAAGGCAACGAUGCAUAGCCGACCUGAGAGGGUGAUCGGCCACACUGGGACUGAGACACGGCCCAGACUCCUACGGGAGGCAGCAGUAGGGAAUCUUCCGCAAUGGACGAAAGUCUGACGGAGCAACGCCGCGUGAGUGAUGAAGGCUUUCGGGUCGUAAAACUCUGUUGUUAGGGAAGAACAAGUACGAGAGUAACUGCUCGUACCUUGACGGUACCUAACCAGAAAGCCACGGCUAACUACGUGCCAGCAGCCGCGGUAAUACGUAGGUGGCAAGCGUUAUCCGGAAUUAUUGGGCGUAAAGCGCGCGCAGGCGGUUUCUUAAGUCUGAUGUGAAAGCCCCACGGCUCAACCGUGGAGGGUCAUUGGAAACUGGGGGAAACUUGAGUGCAGAAGAGAAAAAGCG